UUUGAACGCUGGCGGCAUGCCUUACACAUGCAAGUCGAACGGCAGCGGGGGAGAAGCUUGCUUUUCCUGCCGGCGAGUGGCGAACGGGUGAGUAAUACAUCGGAACGUGCCCUGUAGUGGGGGAUAACUAGUCGAAAGAUUAGCUAAUACCGCAUACGACCUGAGGGUGAAAGUGGGGGACAGCAAGUCCUCAUGCUAUAGGAGCGGCCGAUGUCGGAUUAGCUAGUUGGUGGGGUAAAGGCCUAGCAAGGCGAAGAUCAGUAGCUGGUCUGAGAGGACGAUGAGUCACACUGGGACUGAGACACGGCCCAGACUCCUACGGGAGGCAGCAGUGGGGAAUUUUGGACAAUGGGCGAAAGCCUGAUCCAGCAAUGCCGCGUGUGUGAAGAAGGCCUUCGGGUUGUAAAGCACUUUUGUCCGGAAAGAAAUGGCUCUGGUUAAUACCUGGGGUCGAUGACGGUACCGGAAGAAUAAGGACCGGCUAACUACGUGCCAGCAGCCGCAGUAA
rnacentral:rRNA from 1 species